rnacentral:lncRNA from 1 species
UCCGGGGCGGAGCUAUCUGAACCUCUCCCUUCCGCAGUGGAAAUGUGGACCUCCUGCACUGUUAAGGUCCAUGAUUGCUUGGCCUCUACUUCCGUUAGUUUGAAACGGUGUCUGAGAUUGGGGGUGGCCAUGGCAAAAAGCAAGUUUGAGUACGUACGGGACUUCGAGGCUGACGACACUUGCCUCCCUCAGUGCUGGGUGGUAGUGCGGCUGGACGGCAGGAAUUUCCAUCGGUGAGCGAGCCCGGCUGAAGGCCGCGUGGUGUGCCGGCGUUUCCGGGAAAUCCGACAUACCUGGCUCAUGGUUACCACGGUAACGCGGAAGCCAAUGAGCGCCCGGCAUUGAGCGUCUCCCUCCGUGCGGGCCGCCAACCGGCUUGUGUGUGAGCUGGUCUGGGUAGUUAAAAAGAACAAGGUGGUUGCCUGGUGAGGGGCUGGCCUGGAACGCCCUUGUUAAGUGAGCAGAAACCAGUUAGCAAAGUCCUGGCGGAGAAAAACUAUCACUUCCCGGCACAAUAUUUAACUUUUAACGGUAUUUCCCAUCUAUUCUGUUAGAUAUUUGAGAGCUGACUGUUCAGAGGCCGGAGUUGGCCUUCUUUCUUAUGGGCAACAGUUUACUGUAUAACCGUGUUUCAUUAUCAGUAACAGGCCACGUGGAAUGAAUUCGAUAAACAAAGAAAAAAAAAGGGAGAAAGAAAUUAACACAGAUGGGAGUUUAAUUUUUAAGAAGUGCUUUGUUAGUGAUGCUUAUUGUGUGUGUGUGUCUGUGGUAUUGGGAUUGAACCCAGGGGUGCUCUAUCACUGAGCUACAUCCCCAGACCUCUUAUUUUUUAUUUUGAGACAGGGUCUUACUAAGUUGCCAAGGCUGCCUUGACACUUGCAAUCUUCCUGCCUGUCACUGGAGUUGUUGGGAUUACAGGCGUGUGCCACCAUCCCCAGCAAUAAUGAUCAUUAUAAUUAACAUUUAUUGAGUACUUAAUAGGAACCAGGCAUAUUACAUUUUUAUUUUUCCUUUAUCUUCAGGACAACUCGUUAAUAAUCAACAGGUUAAUGUCUACCUUCAUUUCAAAGAAAAGAAAAUAGAGGUGUAGUGGCAAUUAUGUCCCUUUUUUCUCUGUUGUUCAAGAUUGUAGCUAGUAGCCCUGUUACAGUAUUUUCCUCUUGGAACUACCUUCAUAGUCUGUGUUGUUCAUGAAAAAACUCUUCUUUCCAUGCUUUUCCCCCUCCUCUUUCCCCUGUGAAGGUUUGCUGAGAAGCACAACUUUGCAAAACCUAAUGACAGCCGUGCUCUCCACCUAAUGAACAAAUGUGCCCAGACUGUAAUGGAAGAACUGGAGGACAUUGUGAUUGCAUAUGGACAAAGUGAUGAAUACAGCUUUGUGUUCAGGAGGAAAAGCAAUUGGUUUAAAAGAAGAGCCAGGUAAUUUAUGGCCUGCCUCUUUUCUUCAGAAUAUUUCCUAUCAGCAUCUAUUUUUCUGUUUAUUUUGACUUACAGACUACAAAGGAUGACUGACAUGAUUAGUAACAGAGACCAUAAAAUUAUAAUAUUAGUGAUUCAUAGGUUGGCUUUAGCUGGUCAGUAUCUAUAUGCAUUGCAGUAAUACUUAAAAUUUUUAUUAAGGAAGAUCUGAGUAUAAAAUAGACAAAUUUGGUUUUUGACAGUAUUUUGAAACUGUAAAGGAAACAAAUCAUAAUGAAUUAGUAUGUUUUUAAAGCAGUGUUUUCCAUCUUCUGAAGACUAAAGAUAAUACAAAAGAAAAACAUUGAACCAUAAAUUUUAAUCAUAUUUAAAUUGGCAUUAGUAAAUAAUAGGACUGAAAAUAAAUAAGCUACACUUAAAACAUAUAUAUAAAAUAUAUUAAAAUAUGUAACUGAAAUUGGCCAAAAUGUAUUUUAAUUCUUGGCUUGCUGGAAGGUUUGUGUAGUCUCUCUGUAGCACCUGCAGGCCCUAUCAUGGUGUUGAAUUAAUAUCAUAUAUUUUCUCUUUUCUUGCUCCACCCAAUGUGCCUUACAUUUGAAANUACACAAAGCUUUUCCUAUCUGUUUGUUUCCUCAGGGAACUCUUGCAGCAGAUAAAAAUGAGAUCUUGUUUUCUGAAUUCAAGAUCAACUACAAUAAUGAGCCGCUGAUGUACAGGAAAGGGACUGUGUUGAUAUGGCAGAAGGUAAUGCUGUUAUGUUCAAGGAAAGUGGCAGUUAGGGGAAAAGAGCCCAUGGCCAUCCCAGGCUUUGCCCCCCUGCUGCCUGUAUACUGAUAUGACUCCAGGUGCUAAGGUGAACUAGAUCCUUCCCAAAAGAACAAGCUGUAGAUUAUGUAUUUGGAUGCUCAUUUUGUCAUCAGUUGUCGUUUGAAAUCUCCCUUAAGUAGAAGCAUGGGAUUUUAAAAUUUAGCGUACUUACUUAACUGUGUCAUAAGCACUUCCCAUAUCAAACAAAAGAGUACAGUAAAGGUACAAGGAUUGUUGUAUUCCUUGAACAUGUAAAAAAUGCUUUUCCCACACUGGAUAAUACCAUUAAAUUGUCCAUGCUAUGACAACUAUAAAAUGAAGCACUAAGUUGUGUAUGAGGAUUUUUUCACUUCCAGAAAUUUUAUGAUUCUUAAUAUUCUAAAAUGAGUAUGCACAUUUACUUAAAUACUUGAUUCUAGCAAUAUUUUCUCUUAUCAGCUCUUGAGCAUAAUUAUUUCUCUAAACUCAUUUCCUGCCUUGCUAUGUAGUUUUUCCGAAAUGAAUGUUUUCAAGUAUUAUUGGGUAGUUAAGAACUAGUCAUUCUACUGGCAACAUCAUCUCUUUUAUUAGUAUUUUCAAAACACAUUUGUUCUUUGGCACAGACUUGGUUACUUUUUAAUGCAGGUAAGAGAGGAGAAAUUCACCUUUAAUUUUAUAGUCAUUGCUGUUAAGGAACAUGAAAUCUCUUUUUUGUUCCUCAUCAUUUUUCAAAGUAUGGUAACAUAACCUUUUUUGAGUAUUUCUGAUUGGUAAAGUGGUUCACAUAAAGUAUGCAACUAUAAGUAUAGCAAGUACAAACGUGAACUUCCCCCACAUUUUCCCUUUUCUUCCAAACCCUCUUUCGUGUUAACAUUGUCACUACUUUGACUUUUACCUGUAGGUGGAUGAAGUCACGACAAAAGAAGUUAAGCUGCCAGCAGAAAUGGAAGGGAAAAAGAUGGCUGUAACCCGGACCAGAACGAAGCCAGUACUCUUACACUGUGAUAUCAUUGGGGAUGCUUUCUGGAAGGAACAUCCAGAAAUCCUUUAUGAAGACAGCUGACACUCUGCUCUUUAAUUCUGCUGUGUUUAACCAUGCAAGGCUCCCAGGUCUUCUUGCCUUAGGUGGCCCUAGCAUUCCUGCCACCCAGAACUGUACCAGAAAUGACAUGACUUGAGUUAGGAGGGAGCAGGGAAGGAAGGAAUUGAUGGGGGUGGUAUAUCUUGUUCUCUUAAGCAGAACACCUUUUUUGCAAUGUUAGAACAUGAUUUCUGUGGGUUUUUUUCCAAAAUCGUGGUACUAUUUUUAUAAAGUAAGAACUAUUUAAUGCCUUGUGAGAUGAGUCAUUUUUAGAUUGUGGCAUAAGCCUUAUAAAAAUCUGUCAGCUCUUUUCACCUAUGAUAGAAAUGAAGCCCAAACUUUACUCUCACCCACAUAUUCUUAACUAGAGAACCCAGUGACUUUGAAUAUCUCACUUCUGUACCCAUGUACUUGGAUAAUCUUGAUAGACCUGAAGAUAAAUAUGAGUUAAAACCUGCCUGGUGCCUCUGAAUUCCAGAUAUUCCAGGGAAAACUCAGGGCUUUGUGCAAGUCUCCAAAUCAGCAGUUUUGGCUGAAUAAAUGAGUAGUGGUAUUAGAUACCCUUGUGUACACCCUCCAAGGACUGAUUUUAUGGAGUUGCCAGCAUAAUGAUGAUCAUCAUCUUGCCGGAAGCAUAGGCUAAAGCCACUUACCUUUUUCUAAGUACAUGUGAGACAUAUAUAUAUAUAUAUAUAUAUAUAUAUAUAUAUAUAUAUAUAUAUAUGAUAAAGAAAAUAUGUGAGAAUGAGUAAAAAUGGAGACCAUUUUUUACUCCGUGUCCUCUAGAUACUUCCGUUUUAAAAGCUGUCUUCCAGUUCGGCUGCCUGAAAGAUUCAAAAGUAGUCUCUAUGGAAUCAGAAAAUGACAUUUGAAUUCAAGAGCAGAGGGGUCAACAUAGCCCUUGGGGCAGCUGUCAAAUGAGUCCUACUAACUCCACCUCCUAAUGGGCCAAUGGAGAUAGGAGACCUGCAGAGGUGAUGGUAUGCUGGGAGCUGUUGAAGUGUGAAAGGGGGCGGGUAAGUCAUGGGGAUGGGUGGUGAGUAGCUUUACAUUCCUCUUGUCCUUACUUUGUAUAUUAGAGGAAGAAGAUUAUUUGGCUCAAUUAAGAUUUAAUUAAGAGACAGCCCAUGUCCCAGUUGCUGGUCUUGCAUUGCAGAAUUUACAGCCAAGAAGAAAAUGUAUUUUUGAAAGUGUGACGGAUGGCCUCAUCCUUCAGUAAUUGACAUCCCAUCUGUCGAUGCCAUUUUUUUCCUUCCUGUCCCCCCACCCCCUCCACAGGAAAAGAACAAGUAUCUCAUGUUUGGUAAUUGCUAAAAUGUCUGAAAAAAAAAAAAAUAAAGACAUCAACUUCCUUGGCCUA